UAAGUCCUUGUUGGACUCGGAGUAGAAUUAAGGAUCGCCAUAUUAGUAAUUCCUACCUAUAUCACUGGGGGUUGUGUUUACUUUAUUUAUCUCAUAGCUAAUUUAAUAAGCCUAGCAGCUCUCUUCCUUAAAAUGAUUAAAGUGACCAUGUUAAUUUUUUUUUUUUUACAUACCGGCGUUUUAUAUCAUUUGAAUCUCCGCUGAUAGUUUGUCAGCUGUGGUUACUUGGAAUAAGGAACUAUUGAAAGAUCUAGAACUGAACAAACGCAUUUGGGUGUUACUUCACAAAGAAAAAAACACAAGAUAUAGAAUUAGAAUGAACCAAAUGUCGGAAAAAACUAUUACAAAACAUUUGAGUAUGUCAAAUUAUAUUUUGGUUGCCUAUUUAUUAAUAUUAACACUAUAA
rnacentral:lncRNA from 1 species